rnacentral:piRNA from 1 species
UUCCCAAAAAUAAUCGUGAUU